rnacentral:misc_RNA from 1 species
AGCAGCCGCGGUAAUUCCAGCUCCAAUAGCGUAUAUUAAAGUUGUUGCAGUUAAAAAGCUCGUAGUUGAAUUUCGGGAUCAAAGGAUCGGUCAUGCCUUGGUAUGUACUGGUUUUAUUGGUUCUCACCUUCUAAAGAACCAUAAUGUCAUUCAUUUGAUGUUAUGGGGAAUUAGGACUGUUACCUUGAAAAAUUAGAGUGUUUAAAGCAGGCUUACGCUUGAAUACAUUAGCAUGGAAUAAUGAAAUAGGACAUCAGAUUCUAUUUUGUUGGUUUCUAGGAUCGAUGUAAUGAUUAAUAGGGAUAGUUGGGGGCAUUAGUAUUCAAUUGUCAGAGGUGAAAUUCUUGGAUUUAUUGAAGACUAACUACUGCGAAAGCAUUUGCCAAGGAUGUUUUCAUUAAUCAAGAACGAAAGUUAGGGGAUCGAAGACGAUCAGAUACCGUCGUAGUCUUAACCAUAAACUAUGCCGACUAGGGAUCGGAUGAUGUUAAUUUUAUAAUGACUCU